rnacentral:tRNA from 1 species
GAUCCCUUGGCCCAGUUGGUUAAGGCAUCGUGCUAAUAACGCGGGGAUCAGCAGUUCGAACCUGCUAGGGAUCA